UCGAGCGUCAUAAUAACCCUCAAGCCUAGCUUGGUGUUGGGGCCUACUCUUACCGGUAGCCCUUAAAAUCAGUGGCGGUACCGUCGGGUGCUAAGCGUAGUAAUUCUUCUCGCUAUAGCGUCUCGGUGGUUAUUUGCCAACAACCCCUAAUUUUUCUAUGGUUUGACCUCGGAUCAGGUAGGGAUACCCGCUGAACUUAA
rnacentral:misc_RNA from 1 species